CACGGGUGAGUAACACGUAUCCAACCUGCCGUCUACUCUUGACAGCCUUCUGAAAGGAAGAUUAAUACAAGAUGGCAUCAUGAGUCCGCAUGUUCACAUGAUUAAAGGUAUUCCGGUAGACGAUGGGGAUGCGUUCCAUUAGAUAGUAGGCGGGGUAACGGCCCACCCAGUCUUCGAUGGAUAGGGGUUCUGAGAGGAAGGUCCCCCACAUUGGAACUGAGACACGGUCCAA
rnacentral:rRNA from 1 species